rnacentral:rRNA from 1 species
UACAGAGGGUGCAAGCGUUGUUCGGAAUUACUGGGCGUAAAGCGCACGUAGGCGGCUUUGUAAGUUAGAGGUGAAAGCCCAGGGCUUAACCCUGGAAUUGCCUUUAAGACUGCAUCGCUAGAAUCGUGGAGAGGUAAGUGGAAUUCCGAGUGUAGAGGUGAAAUUCGUAGAUAUUCGGAAGAACACCAGUGGCGAAGGCGACUUACUGGACACGUAUUGACGCUGAGGUGCGAAAGCGUGGGGAGCAAACAGG